AUGUCCUUCCCGGAGAGGAGGAAUCCAGAGAGGAAGUCUGGCUACAGCGGCUUUGCAGCACUGUGGACCAGGAUGGCACCCUAGCAACACGGACAGUUGUCUUCAGGACUAGGACUGCCACCAAACUGGGGAAGAGGUGUGACAAGAGCAAGUAACAAUGCAACAGAUCUCUUUCAUUGUAAAGUUGCCUUUUUCUUGAUUCAGUGUUCACCUGCUUGCUAUAAAUCUUUGGCUGUUUUUCAGAGUUCUGACAAAAUUGGUUCUGACGGUUGUUCAUUGUUCUUUAAUGUUUUAGUUGUGAGAAAAGGAGCUUAGAGCUGCCUACUCCACCAUUUUUUUUUGAAAUCACUUCUGUGCCUGUCAUAUUUUAUCCUCACUUAGAAAUAUUUCAAAAUGCUACGCAGAGGGAAAAAAGCAAUCUGUCUUCAAAAUCUCUGUCUUCAGAUGUUCAACAGGCCUGGGAAUACGUGUGACCUUCACUGUGACAGGAAUAAGUCUAUCUUUCUAGGAAAAUUGUUGGCUUUCUCUACAUUUCCAUGUUAGUAGAUAGUUCCCAGAUAUAAGGUACAGGCAGAAUUCACAAAAAGUCAUUUGCAAUUGUCACAAAAAUAUUAUUUUGCUGUUGUAAACAUUGGAAUUAGGGAAAUAUCAUAAUUGUACAUGUUUUAAAUAUAUUACAUUAAAUACAAAUCACCCUCUAAGGAAAAAAAAGGGACAGAAAAAAAUCUUUAAAUUUAAAAUUACUGAUUAUUUUUAAAGAAUUUGGGGCUCAGAUAAAGCCUAAUUAACAUUGUUGGUUUAAAAGUUUUAUUUUUAAAGUAAGAAGAAAGUCUAAUGUGAGAGAAAUGUUUUUUGAGACAAUAAGGUCUAGUGAACUCUAAUGUUUUAAUCUACAUACAAGUUUAUUUAUUGAAAACAAUUCAUCUUUUAACUCUUAAGACUCUAAUAAAUUUCGUUGUAAUGAUGAACAAUUUAGGCAUAUUAUUUUAAUCAUCUUAAUAUGUGAUUAUUUCUGGCUAUCUUUAAUUUUUCUUUUAGAUUUUCUUUUUUUUUCUUAGACAGGAUCUCACUUUGUUGCCCAAUCUGGAGUGCAGUGGUGUCAUCAUGGCUCACUGCAGCCUUGACCUCCCAGGUUCAAACAAUUCUCCCACCUCAGCCUCCCAAGUAGCUAAGACUAAAGGUACAUGCCAUCAUACCCAGCUAAUUUUUGUAUUUUUUGUGGAGAUGAUCUUGCUGUGUUGAACAGGCUGGUCUUAAACCCCUGGGCUCAAGCAAUCUUCCUGCUUGGGCCUCUUAAAGUGUUG
rnacentral:lncRNA from 10 species